CCAUGUCCAAAUAAUGUUGAAUGUGCACUCUUAAAAAUGUAAUUCCACAGAAGGGCCUACAUGUAAAACAGGCUACAACACGCAGCUCACAAAACAAAAAGAACUAAAGCUUUAAAGACAUCUGUAACAGUCUGCGCUACAGUUUACAUAUUAAUCCUUCCUGAUAAAAGUACAUAUUCAGGUAGCUAAAAAUUUGUAAUGCUGGCAGCAUAAAGUUACCUAUCUUUUCAUGUACCUGUAAAAUAUACCACACGGAUGCAAACAACCUUAAAUAUUCACUUGUACUGUCAAGAGGGAAAAUCCCAUUAAAAAAUGAUCUAUGAUUGAUAUUUUCAGCAGAGCAUCUGGGAUUUGUGACGGGUUUCCUUUGUGACAAGUUUUGGGGGUUCAGAGAGUUAAGGAUGUGGGUCACAGGCCAGAGCUGCUCUAUAGCGCUGUACACCUGGAGCAGCAAGGACUCAGGCUCCUGUGCGCUAAUGACAGGGAGGACACUCCACAACACGGCCCUUUAUUCCUUCGCACCUGGGCGUUCACUGGCAGCUUACCUGAUUUAGCUUUCCGCACGAUUCACAUGCAAAUCGAAAGCCCAGCCUGAACAAAGGCAAAGACAAACAGGCAAUAACGCCGAUGUUAAAGCUGGCCGAAUGCUUCACUUUGAAGUCUCUGCCCCCGAUUCCUGCCCAAGUGCUCUCGGCAAAGCUACCGUUUCCAAAUCAUGGAGAGAGCGUGACACAUUCGUUUCAACUUCAAAGGCUGGUUUCCCUCAGUGAGUGUCACACUCCCAAAUUAAUCACGUUUCCAGACCGUUUCCACAGGAAGUUGCACUGCCAUGCUAGUUAACUCGAGGCAAAUCACAUAUACAUCAGAAAGGAUCUCUUGGAGACCUGAGAAGCACUUCCAUGUCUCUAAAUAAGCCCGGCCUGCCGUCAGUCUGAGAUUCCCUGAAUUCCACUUACCCUCAUUACAGGUGGAAAUACAUUUCAGCUAUUUAAGGAAACAUGAAAUGCACAGAUAUUCUUUAUACCAGGUGUCCCCAUGUCUGGUUUUCAAAUCUAAUUGGUUUUCUGGGUCUCUAUUUUUCUUGGUUGUAUCUAGUCAUCAUCUCCAGAACUUAGACUUUAGAUCACUGGUUUGGUUUUUCCACAGCCAGUGCCCCAGUAUAGUAAAACUAAGGUCCUGAUUACUUGGUCACUGUUUGUCAGGGCGGGGGUGUUAAUCUCAAUGUUCUGGAUACAUUUCACUCUGGGGUUGGGAAAUGUGACUCCCUAAAGUUCCCUCUUAUUUAACAGGUGAAAUACAGUAAUUCUCCACCUGAUUUGAAAAGCAGUGGGACUACUGCCUCGCAUCAGCUACUGUAGAGCCCACAAAAAGUCACAGAAGGGAAACAUCACACCAGCAAAAGAGGAAAUGCCCUCCAGCCACGAAAAAGAAGAAACUAAGGGCAAUUUGUCAAGAUUCGAUAUUUACUUCCAUCAGCUCCAUCGUCAUGAAGGAACCCACAGAUUACUCUUUGUACAAAGAACUCUUUUCUUGCUGUGGUGUUUAUGAAAAUAAAUGGGGA